CAGCAGGUUGCAGGAAGCUGACGGUGAAAGAAAAUGGAUAUACGGCGUUUUUUCAAGGAGAAAGAAUGUGCUUCGUUUCGAAGUUGCUGUAGCCAUUGUUGUUACCGCUCCCCGUACAGCGUGAUCCAGAGCUGAGAGCCAGAGCUGAGAGGAACAGCAGAACAGAAAGCUUCAUCCUGAAAGAGACAAGGGCCAAUACCGACUAUUAGUUAGCAAGGACACUGAUAACCAAUAUUUGGGGCUGAAUACUUCUGGAGGCUUAUCGGCAUAGUUUUCAUCCACUGAAGCAUGUUAAAAGCAUGUUCAAGAUCCGAUGGAACCAGUGCAGGAUGAGGCUUUCUCUCCUUCUAAUGUUCCUCUUGGCUCUGGCUUGCAGCUAUGACCUGCCCUGUAGAGGAAAUUAUAGUGAUGAUUCCUACAACGAAUUCUCUGCAAAGCACAUUCUACCAAAAGGAUUUAAGAACUCAGAAGACAACUGGAUUAAGCUCCUGCAAAAACAAAUGCAAUACCUAAAUAAAGAAAGGCUCUGUGGAAGAGUACCUUUGCAGACUUUCUUUAGGAAAGCUGAUGAAAAUGCAGUUAAAAACAUCUGUAACGGUCAAGGCUUUAAAUAUAGUGAUGGAAAUCUGUGCAUCAGUCAGGAGAGAUUCAAUCUUUUCAUAGUUGAAAGCAAGAGAAUUAAAAGUGGUUGCAAAAUAAAGAAAAUUAGUGAAACUAACAACGACAACCGUUUGCAUGUGAUUGUUGGCUGUGGGAGGGUUGAAAACACAUGUCUGCCUGUACACUUCCAUACUCAGACCAAAGAGGAACCACACAACAGGAUUGUAUGCCGUUACCCAUAAAUCAUUCAUUCUGCACUUACACAAAAACCCUUUUUGUUCCUUUACUCGUCUUCUUUACGCCACAGACGUGCCUCUUCUUUCAUGCUUUUCACUGCUGGAUAAAAGUCUCUGCUAAAUCAAAUAAGGUCAAUUAUAUUCUAAGAAGAACAUCGCACAUUAAAGAAUGAGGAUUCAGAUGUUCACUGCUUUUAUUAUCAAACGUCUUUAUAAAAUAUGAUGGUUUAAAGUUAUGAUGUAGAGAAUUUAACGACUGCCGAAUGUCUGUACUAUAAAUAAACACAUGAGAACAUUUUGUACUA